rnacentral:rRNA from 1 species
UACGAAGGGUGCAAACGUUGCUCGGAAUUAUUGGGCGUAAAGCGCACGUAGGCGGCUUAGCAAGUCGGAUGUGAAAUCCCUCGGCUUAACCAAGGAAGUGCAUCCGAAACUGGCGAGCUUGAGUACGAAAGAGGAUCGCGGAAUUCCCGGUGUAGAGGUGAAAUUCGUAGAUAUCGGGAGGAACACCGGUGGCGAAGGCGGCUAUCUGGACAGAAACUGACGCUGAGGCGCGAAAGCUAGGGGAGCAAACAGG